rnacentral:rRNA from 1 species
AGUUAACGCUGGCGGUAGGCCUAACACAUGCAAGUCGAACGGCAGCACAGGAGAGCUUGCUCUCUGGGUGGCGAGUGGCGGUCGGGUGAGGAAUACCUCGGAAUCUACUUUUUCGUGGGGGAUAACGUAGGGAAACGUACGCUAAUAACGCAUACGACCUACGGGUGAAAGCAGUGGAUCUUCGGACCUUGCGCGAUUGAAUGAGCCGAUGUCGGUUUAGCUAGGUGGCGGGGUAAAGGCCCACCCAGGCGACGAUCCGAAGCUGGUCUGAGAGGAUGGUCAGCCGCAGUGGAACUGAGGCCCGGUCCAGAGUCCUACGGGAGGCAGGAGUGGGGAAUAUUGGGCAAAGGGCGCAAGCCUGAUCCAGCCAUACCGCGUGGGUGAAGGAGGCCUUCCGGUUGUAAAGCCCUUUUGUUGGGAAAGAAAUCCAGCUGGUUAAUACCCGGUUUGGAUGACGGUACCCAAAGAAUAAGCACCGGCUAACUUCGUGCCAGCCGCCGCGGUAA